rnacentral:ncRNA from 1 species
ACCCUAGUAGUCCACGCCCUAAACGUUGCACACUCGUCAUUGGAAGUAUCGACCCUUUCAGUGGCCAAGCUAACGCAUUAAGUGUGCCGCCUGGGAAGUACGGUCGCAAGACUAAAACUCAAAGGAAUAGACGGGAGUUCGCACAAGCGGUGGUGCAUGUGGUUCAAUUCGACGACAACCGAGGAACCUCACCAGGGUUUGAAAUGCUGGACAAAGUCGGGGGAAACCCCGAUGUACCCACAAGGAUGCCAGCACAGGUGCUGCACGGUCCUCGUCAGUUCGUGGUGUGAAUUGUUCUCUUAAGUGAGGUAACGAACGCAACCCUCAUCCUAUGUUAUAAGUGUCAUGGGAAACUGCCUCCGUUUAGGGGGAGGAAGGUGGGGAUGACGCGAGAUCAGCGUGGCCCUCUGAUACCCUGGGCUACACACGUGCAACAAUGGCGCCGACAAUGUGUCGCGAAACCGCAAGGUGGAGCCAAUCACACCAAACGGCGCCCCAGUUCAGAUUGGGGUCUGCAACUCGACCCCAUGAAGAAGGAAUCGCUAGUAAACGCGGAUCAGCUACGCCGCGUUGAAUACGUUCUCGAACUUUGUACUCACCGCCCGUCACGUCAAGAGAGCCGGGAGUAGCCGAAAUCUGCUUUAUGCGGCCUAAGCUAAGCUCGGUGAUAGGGACGAAGUCGUAACAAGGCAUGGCUAGCGGAAGCUGGUCAUGGAUCAUUUCUUUU